rnacentral:lncRNA from 1 species
UAGCUGUUAAGUACAUGAUGGGAUUCUUCUGCUUUCUUUUGCUGUUUGUUUUUCACUUCCACCUACUCCUAAGUUUGGCCUCAGGAGCCAGAAAUUUGUCUUCACCUCAACAACUACAACAAGAACAAAGCUAGAGUGAUGAUGAUGAGGUGAGGCUGUUGUUGGCUUUCAAACAAUCUUCUGUUCAAUCUUAUCGCCAAAAUCUCACAGCCUACACUUUCCAACUCUCAC